rnacentral:rRNA from 1 species
GCUUAUCACCAUUCCAGAUUGAAUAUGCCCGAUCUCGUCUGAUCUCGGAAGUCAAGCAAUCUCGGGCU